rnacentral:rRNA from 1 species
UACAGAGGCCUCAAGCGUUGUUCGGAAUUACUGGGCGUAAAGGGAAUGUAGGUGGCGAGGCAAGUCAGAUGUGAAAGCCCUGGGCUCAACCUGGGAAUUGCAUUUGAUACUGCUUUGCUUGAGCGUGAGAGAGAAGAGUGGAAUUCCUGGUGUAGGGGUGAAAUCCGUAGAUAUCAGGAGGAAUACCGAUGGCGAAGGCAACUCUUUGGCUCAUUGCUGACACUGAGAUUCGAAAGCAUGGGUAGCAAACAGG